GGAUCCAAUCACAGCCGAGAGGCUCAGGUUUCAGCCCCGCCCCCUGGGACAGCUGUGAACAGAGGAAGAAUCUGUUGUCAGACUAAAUUAUUCUGCUUCAAAAUGGACUGUUUUUCGGUGCUAGAAGGGGAAAAAUGUGGAAAAGAAAACAACAGUGGUGAUGUCAGGACUUGGGUGAGAAGUGCAUUGUCAGACGGCCUAACUGCUUAAUCUUGGGGCCACGCAUGCAACUGUGGAAGGGACUACAGCAUAUGAUGAUACCUCCAGAACUAACUCACAGGAUGAGCCAGAAUCUGGACAUUUUGUUGAAAUAAUUGGGACAUUUAUUUGAAAAGAAAAUGGUAUAUGUGUUCAAAUACUUUAAGAAAUACUUAUUAAAAUAUGAAAUUAAUUUUGUAUGCAUUUAUAAACACCACUG